rnacentral:lncRNA from 1 species
GUGUUGCUCUCCUAGAUACAAAAUGUAUCCAAAAUCAAAGAUGUAGAACAUAUUCUAUCAUAAUCCUUCGGUAACUAGUGUUAUUACUGUCUCCUCCAUGCCUGUCAUGAACAUAAAAAAAAGAUAUUAAAUAAAUAACAGUUCUAAUGCUCAGGUUGGUUGUCACCGUGCAACACAGUUAAUAAUAUAAAAAACAUAUAUGAGACAACUAUCAACAAAAGACCAAAAUGACACAAACAUUAACAGUUAUAGGUCACCGUACGGCCUUCAAUAAUGAGCAAAGCCCAUACCGCAUAUAUAGUCAGCUAUAAAAGGCCCUGAUAAGACAAUGUAAAACAAUUCAAGCGAGAAAACUAAUGGCCUCAUUUAUGUAAAAAAAUGAACAAAAAACAAAUAUGUAACACAUAAACAAACGACAACCACUGAAUUACAGGCUCCUGACUUGGGACAGGCACAUACAAAAAUAAUGUGGCGGGGUUAAACAUGUUAGUGGGAUCCCAAGCCUCCCCCUAACCUGGGACCCCUACAACAUAAGAACAAACUAUAAAAAUCAGUUAAAAAGGCUUAACUCAUCAGAUAGACAAAAAAAUAACACCAUAAAGGAAAAACAUAGAACUCCUUUUGUCAUAAGACACUGUCAAACAUCCAAACAUACUAUCCACACUCAUCUGUGUCCACACUUGUUGUUAUAUAAAA